rnacentral:rRNA from 1 species
CGUACACUCCUACGGGAGGCAGCAGUGGGGAAUUUUGGACAAUGGGCGAAAGCCUGAUCCAGCCAUGCCGCGUGCAGGAUGAAGGCCUUCGGGUUGUAAACUGCUUUUGUACGGAACGAAACGGCCUUUUCUAAUAAAGAGGGCUAAUGACGGUACCGUAAGAAUAAGCACCGGCUAACUACGUGCCAGCAGCCGCGGUAAUACGUAGGGUGCAAGCGUUAAUCGGAAUUACUGGGCGUAAAGCGUGCGCAGGCGGUUAUGUAAGACAGUUGUGAAAUCCCCGGGCUCAACCUGGGAACUGCAUCUGUGACUGCAUAGCUAGAGUACGGUAGAGGGGGAUGGAAUUCCGCGUGUAGCAGUGAAAUGCGUAGAUAUGCGGAGGAACACCGAUGGCGAAGGCAAUCCCCUGGACCUGUACUGACGCUCAUGCACGAAAGCGUUGGGAGCAAACAGGAUUAGAUACCCGGGUAGUCCCAUGA